rnacentral:rRNA from 1 species
ACUCAAAUGAAUUGACGGGAAUCCGCACAAGUGGUGGAGCAUGUGAUUUAAUACGAUAAUACGCGUAAAACCUUACCAGUUUUUGCAUAAUUGUAGUUAGUUAUAGAGAUAUAAUAUUAACGUUAUUCAAUUACAGGUGGUGCAUGGCUGUCGUCAGCUCGUGUCGUGAGAUGUAAGGUUUGGUCCCAAAACGAGCGCAACCCCCAUAAUUAGUUGCUAAUAAUUUUUUAAUAAAAAAUUAAGAACUUUAAUUAAACUGCCUGUAUUUAAAUAGGAGGAAGGAGGGGAUAACGUCAAGUCCGCAUGCCCCUAAUAAACUGGGCUAUACACGUGCUACAAUGGCAAUGACAAUAGGAAGCAAUGAUGAGAGUCGGAGCAAAUCGUUAAACAUUGUCUUAGUUCAGAUUAUUCUCUGCAAGUCGAGAAUAUAAAGAUGGAAUCACCAGUAAUCGCGAAUCAGCACGUCGCGGUGAAUUAGUUCCCGGAUUUUGCACACACCGCCCGU